AUUCAUAUAGACUGGACACGAACAUA
rnacentral:piRNA from 1 species